rnacentral:rRNA from 1 species
AUACGGAGGGUGCGAGCGUUACUCGGAGUCACUGGGCGUAAAGCGUCCGUAGGCGGUCGGGUAAGUCGGGUGUGAAAGCCCCGGGCUCAACCUGGGAAGUGCACCCGAUACUGCUCGACUCGAGUGCGGGAGAGGAUGGCGGAAUUCCCGGUGUAGCGGUGAAAUGCGUAGAGAUCGGGAGGAACACCAGUGGCGAAGGCGGCCAUCUGGCCCGCAACUGACGCUGAGGGACGAAAGCGAGGGGAGCAAACAGGAUUAGAAACCCUAGUAGUCC